AUUGAACGCUGGCGGCAUGCUUUACACAUGCAAGUCGAACGGCAGCGCGGGGGCAACCCUGGCGGCGAGUGGCGAACGGGUGAGUAAUGCACCGGAACGUAUCCUGUAAUGGGGGGAUAACGUAGCGAAAGUUACGCUAAUACCGCAUACGCUCGAGAGAGGAAAGUGGGGGAUCGCAAGACCUCACGUUAUAGGAGCGGCCGAUGUCCGAUUAGCUAGUUGGUGGGGUAAAGGCCUACCAAGGCGACGAUCGGUAGCUGGUCUGAGAGGAUGAUCAGCCACACUGGGACUGAGACACGGCCCAGACUCCUACGGGAGGCAGCAGUGGGGAAUUUUGGACAAUGGGCGAAAGCCUGAUCCAGCCAUGCCGCGUGCGGGAAGAAGGCCUCGGUUGUAACCG
rnacentral:rRNA from 1 species